rnacentral:rRNA from 1 species
UCACUAAGGCGACGACGGGUAGCCGACCUGAGAGGGUGACCGGCCACACUGGGACUGAGACACGGCCCAGACUCCUACGGGAGGCAGCAGUGGGGAAUAUUGCACAAUGGGCGAAAGCCUGAUGCAGCGACGCCGCGUGCGGGAUGACGGCCUUCGGGUUGUAAACCGCUUUUGACAGGGACGAAGCGCAAGUGACUGUACCUGUAGAAUAAGGACCGGCCAACUACGUGCCAGCAGCCGCGGUAAUACGUAGGGUCCGAGCGUUGUCCGGAAUUACUGGGCGUAAAGAGCUUGUAGGCGGUUCGUCGCGUCGUUUGUGAAAACUUGGGGCUCAACCUUAAGCUUGCAGGCGAUACGGGCGGACUAGAGUACUUCAGGGGAGACUGGAAUUCCUGGUGUAGCGGUGAAAUGCGCAGAUAUCAGGAGGAACACCGGUGGCGAAGGCGGGUCUCUGGGAAGUAACUGACGCUGAGAAGCGAAAGCAUGGGUAGCUAACAGGAUUAGAUACCCUGGUAGUCCAUGCCGUAAACGGUGGGUACUAGGUGUGGGGCUCCUUCCGACUGACUCCGUGCAGUCGUUAGAACUGAA